CGGUGUUUGUCGUAAAUUUGUAUUCUGUAUAUUGCACAUGGACAUAUGUCGGAUGGCUUGGUUUAAUCUUUGGUUUGAAUUUAUCAUUUGUUUCGAGUGAUAUUCUCAUAUUCUUCUUAAGAAACAAUGUAAAUGAUCAUAGAAGGCCAAACAGCUUUCCUAAUCAAACAACUAGGAGAAUACAAGCCAUUUUAAGAAACAAUGUAAAUGAUCAUAGAAGGCCAAACACUUUUCCCGAUCAAACAACUGGAGUACAAGGUGAACCUAGCUUCUAUUCUGGUGGAUCAGUGCCUCCAUCUGCUGAUGAUGUGUAUGUUCAUACUGCUGAUCGUG
rnacentral:lncRNA from 1 species